GAUGAAGAACGCAGCGAAAUGCGAUAAGUAGUGUGAAUUGCAGAAUUCAGUGAAUCAUCGAAUCUUUGAACGCACAUUGCGCCCCUUGGUAUUCCAUGGGGCAUGCCUGUUCGAGCGUCAUUUGUACCCUCAAGCUUUGCUUGGUGUUGGGUGUUUGUCCCGCGUUGCGCGUGGACUCGCCUUAAAGCGAUUGGCAGCCGGCAUAUUGGCCUUGGAGCGCAGCACAUUUUGCGCUUCUAGUCAUGAAUGUUGGCGUCCAUUAAGCCUAUACAUUUGCUCUUGACCUCGGAUCAGGUAGGGAUACCCGCUGAACUUAAGCAUAUCAUAAGCGGAGGA
rnacentral:misc_RNA from 1 species